AGUGAACGCUGGCGGCGUGCUUAACACAUGCAAGUCGAACGAGAACGGAUUAUAGCUUGCUAUAAUUGUCAGCUAAGUGGCGCACGGGUGAGUAAUGUAUAGGUAAUAUGCCUCUUACUAAGGGAUAACAAAUGGAAACGUUUGCUAAUACCUUAUACCCCCUAUUAACAGAAGUUAAUAUGGGAAAGAUUUAUUGGUAAGAGAUUAGCCUGUAUUGUAUCAGUUAGUUGGUGGGGUAAUGGCUUACCAAGACUAUGACACAUAACUGGUUUGAGAGGAUGAUCAGUCACACUGGAACUGAGACACGGUCCAGACUCCUACGGGAGGCAGCAGUGGGGAAUAUUGCACAAUGGACGAAAGUCUGAUGCAGCAACGCCGCGUGGAGGAUGACACAUUUCGGUGCGUAAACUCCUUUUAUAUGAGAAGAUAAUGACGGUAUUAUAUGAAUAAGCACCGGCUAACUCCGUGCCAGCCGCCGCGGUAACAC
rnacentral:rRNA from 1 species